rnacentral:tRNA from 1 species
CGGGGCGUAGCGCAGUUUGGUAGCGCACAUGGUUUGGGACCAUGGGGCCGGGGGUUCAAAUCCUCUCGCCCCGA